AGAGUUUGAUCCUGGCUCAGGAUGAACGCUAGCGGCAGGCUUAAUACAUGCAAGUCGAACGGGAUUCGGGGUAGCAAUACUUUGAUGAGAGUGGCGCACGGGUGCGUAACGCGUAUGCAACCUACCUUUAACAGGGGAAUAGCCCCGAGAAAUCGGGAUUAAUACUCCGUAACAUUGCGGUGUGGCAUCACACUGCACUUAAAGCUGAGGCGGUUAAAGAUGGGCAUGCGUGACAUUAGCUAGUUGGUGAGGUAACGGCUCACCAAGGCAACGAUGUCUAGGGGUCCUGAGAGGGUUAUCCCCCACACUGGUACUGAGACACGGACCAGACUCCUACGGGAGGCAGCAGUAAGGAAUAUUGGUCAAUGGGCGCAAGCCUGAACCAGCCAUGCCGCGUGCAGGAAGACGGCCCUAUGGGUUGUAAACUGCUUUUGUCAGGGAAUAAACCCCCGCUCGUGAGCGGGGCUGAAGGUACCUGAAGAAUAAGCAUCGGCUAACUCCGUGCCAGCAGCCGCGGUAAUACGGAGGAUGCAAGCGUUAUCCGGAUUCAUUGGGUUUAAAGGGUGCGCAGGCGGAUUGGUAAGUCAGGGGUGAAAUCCCACAGCUCAACUGUGGAACUGCCUUUGAUACUGUCAGUCUAGAGUAUAGUUGAAGUUGGCGGAAUGUGUCAUGUAGCGGUGAAAUGCUUAGAUAUGACACAGAACACCGAUCGCGAAGGCAGCUAGCUAAGCUAUAACUGACGCUCAUGCACGAAAGCGUGGGGAUCAAACAGGAUUAGAUACCCUGGUAGUCCACGCUGUAAACGAUGAUUACUCGAUGUUGGCGAUACACAGUCAGCGUCUGAGCGAAAGCAAUAAGUAAUCCACCUGGGGAGUACGAUCGCAAGAUUGAAACUCAAGGGAUUGACGGGGGCCCGCACAA
rnacentral:rRNA from 1 species